rnacentral:rRNA from 1 species
GAUGAACGCUGGCGGCGUGCUUAACACAUGCAAGUCGAACGGACGAUGAAGAGCUUGCUUUUCAGAGUUAGUGGCGGACGGGUGAGUAACGCGUGGGUAACCUGCCUCAUACAGGGGGAUAGCAGCUGGAAACGGCUGAUAAAACCGCAUAAGCGCACAGCAUCGCAUGAUGCAGUGUGAAAAACUCCGGUGGUAUGAGAUGGACCCGCGUCUGAUUAGAUAGUUGGUGAGGUAACGGCCCACCAAGUCAACGAUCAGUAGCCGGCCUGACGAGGGUGACCGGCCACAUUGGGACUGAGACACGGCCCAAACUCCUACGGGAGCAGCAGUGGGGGAAUAUUGCACAAUGGGCGAAAGCCUGAUGCAGCGACGCCGCGUGAGCGAAGAGUA